GCCCUUUGCAACUGUAAUCUGUUGAUGACCUGUGUGCAGCUUGUUACACUGCAGCUUGUCACACUGAAUGGCAGCCUGAAUAAUUUAAUAUUGAACUGUGAUUAAUCACAAGAUGAAAGCUAAGAUUGGCUGGUAGGAGGCAGUGUUCUUUGCUGCAGCAUUUCCCACCUGAGGUAAUUUUCCUUGUUCUGAAAGUGUCAAGUACAGUUGGGCAAUGUACUACGUAGGAAGAAGGGAAAGAAUCUCAAAAACAAAUAAAUGAACAAAAAAAACCCCUUUAUAUUUGCUUGUGCAAGAAGAAGAUUGUUCUUCCACUCAACCAGGUUUUGAGAGGACAAAUUAAUUGUUUCUCUGACAACACUAUACAUUGGAGGCUGUUAAUGAUCCCGUAGUCUGUGCUAAAGGUUUCAGCUGAUUGUGUUUGUCAUCAGCUUUUACUAAAGAAAAAGCAAGCCUUCUUGGCUGUGUGGAUAUUCCAGGAACGAAACGAUUCCAUUCAUGUAGAUAAUGAUAACAGAGCCAAACCAAAAAUAUUGUAAGUGUCCUAUGUGGAACAAUAUACAGAAUUUCAAAAGGGAUUGUAGUGGUCCCAUAUACAGAACUAACAUACUUCCUGUUCCUUAUUUGCUGAUCAGGUCAUAUUUAUCUGCCUGUCAGGACUGUUGGAGCGCUGGAUGGAGAGCAGGUCAUAUGAAGAGGAUUACGGAGUAAAAGGCAGCUUGUACUGAAGUGCAGGGAAAGUAUAAAUAUUUAUAUAUAUUGGCACAGUGCCUAGCCUUAAUGCUUAAAAUCCUUUGGAGAGCUGUCUGCAUAUUUACUGUAUUAAUGAUCAAAUGCAAGGCUGUGUUGGGAAAGGUCUUCCAUUUGGAAGUCAGUAGUUGAGACUGUCUUGCCUAUGAAAAAGAGGGAGAAUUUUCAUUAGAGGAUGUAGGAUUCUGGCUGGUAAUAGUCUUAGUUCGAGGUAUUUUUAGAGAAUUGAUUUAACGCAAGCAGAACAAAUGGCCAGAAGUGUAAUGAGAGACAAGUUGACAUUAGAAAGUAGAUGUGCAUUUUGAAUGUAUUAUCAUAGCAACUGAUUAAAUUCUCCCUCUCUUGCUGUUCUGGGGACCUUUUAAAUGUGCUUUGGCUAAAUAAAAAGUAUUAGACUGUUUCAGAGCCAAAAGGUCGGUUCUUGUUGUCUCUUUUGCACUUUAAUUCUAGUACGCUGAUACUUGCUAACCGCUUAUAACCCUAGAUGCAGAAUGAGAACUUGGGUUAUUAACAGUAAACAAGUCAACAGCAGAAAGACUUGACCUUUCUUUUGAAUUGCCCUACAGUGUUAAAAAAUACCAAACAAACCUCCUUCCCCAAAGAAACACCCCCCAAAAUACCCCAACAACUCACCAAACAGAAAAUCACCGGCAACCAAAAAGCAGAAGUAACAAACAUGAACAGCAAGCGGAGGAAGAGUUUGAAAGCGGGAUGGACAGAAGCAGAAGUGUUACUGCCCACUCUUAGGCCACUGUGCUGAUUCAAUGGGUGUUGUUAGGUUUAGAUUAGUAGUUCCUUGUUGUUGGGUUUUUCGGUGGUGUUGAUUUUUUUGUUGUCGAUGUGGGGGAUUGUUCGUUUGUUUGGUUUUAAUUUGGUUUUUUUUUUUUCUGUAUUAAAAAUCUGGCUCAGUUACUCUCUAGUUCUGGUGUGUUUUCUUUUCCAGGUGGUUGGUGUUUCUGCAGUGUUUGGCACAGGACCGGAGAGUAUCGUCCACAAUACGAGCGCCCGAGAAAAACACUGGACCUGAUGCUUCUGCAAUGGGUCCCUCUGAGCUAAUUCUAACACGGGGAGCUCUCGAUGAAGAGCAAGAAGACAGGGAGAGUGACGCUGAUGGCAUUGACCAUGAAGGUAAGGGAAUGAGGUCUAAAAGCUGCCUCUCAAGAAAUCCCCUCUAUAUUUCAUGACCUGGAUGGACUGUAAGGAGAGCCUAGCAAACAAGCAAACAUUCAGUCACCUGACGUGUCAGAAUCUGUAGCAGAAGCUCCGCUGCAAUGGUCAGUGCAGGGAUAUCACUCUGUAAGCUUUGUGAAAGUUCAAUUGUAAAUUUUCUAUUCGAGUAAUUAAUAGGUGUAUAACACACAUAAACCAGAGAACUCGUUAGGCUUGGGGCAUGCAGUGACCUCUGAACCUGAUUGAUGCACAGAUGUGUCCAUCAUCUUUUUGGCCUUACAGUUUGUGGCCCUGGCUCUCUUCCCUUUUCCUGUGACUGUGGUCUUGGAGCAAUCUUCUAAGUUGUUACAGUGUGAUUUUUCUCUUCUAUAGCUCACAGACUUAAUCUUCCUUCUUUCCCUGUUCCGCUGAUGGGUAGGAUCACUUAUUUCCUUUGCCCUGUAAUGUAGUUGAAGAUGGAAUAGACUUUCUAUGUUGCUUUGGCUA